AUUGAACGCUGGCGGCAUGCUUUACACAUGCAAGUCGAACGGCAGCGCGGGCUUCGGCCUGGCGGCGAGUGGCGAACGGGUGAGUAAUACAUCGGAACGUGCCCAGUAGUGGGGGAUAGCUCGGCGAAAGCCGGAUUAAUACCGCAUACGACCUGAGGGUGAAAGCGGGGGAUCUUCGGACCUCGCGCUAUUGGAGCGGCCGAUGGCAGAUUAGCUAGUUGGUGGGGUAAUGGCCUACCAAGGCGACGAUCUGUAGCUGGUCUGAGAGGACGACCAGCCACACUGGGACUGAGACACGGCCCAGACUCCUACGGGAGGCAGCAGUGGGGAAUUUUGGACAAUGGGCGAAAGCCUGAUCCAGCAAUGCCGCGUGUGUGAUGAAGGCCUUCGGGUUGUAAAGCACUUUUGGCGGGAACGAAAAGGACUGUGCCAAUACCACGGUUCGAUGACGGUACCCGCAGAAUAAGCACCGGCUAACUACGUG
rnacentral:rRNA from 1 species